rnacentral:rRNA from 1 species
UACGGAGGGGGCUAGCGUUGUUCGGAAUUACUGGGCGUAAAGCGCACGUAGGCGGCUUUGUAAGUUAGAGGUGAAAGCCCGGAGCUCAACUCCGGAACUGCCUUUAAGACUGCAUCGCUAGAAUUGUGGAGAGGUGAGUGGAAUUCCGAGUGUAGAGGUGAAAUUCGUAGAUAUUCGGAAGAACACCAGUGGCGAAGGCGGCUCACUGGACUGGUAUUGACGCUGAGGUGCGAAAGCGUGGGGAGCAAACAGG